GAACGCUGGCGGCAUGCCUUACACAUGCAAGUCGAACGGCAGCACGGGGGCAACCCUGGUGGCGAGUGGCGAACGGGUGAGUAAAGCAUCGGAACGUGCCCUGAAGUGGGGGAUAACGUAGCGAAAGUUACGCUAAUACCGCAUAUUCUGUGAGCAGGAAAGCAGGGGACCGCAAGGCCUUGUGCUUUAGGAGCGGCCGAUGUCGGAUUAGCUAGUUGGUGAGGUAAAGGCUCACCAAGGCGACGAUCCGUAGCGGGUCUGAGAGGAUGAUCCGCCACACUGGAACUGAGACACGGUCCAGACUCCUACGGGAGGCAGCAGUGGGGAAUUUUGGACAAUGGGCGCAAGCCUGAUCCAGCCAUGCCGCGUGAGUGAAGAAGGCCUUCGGGUUGUAAAGCUCUUUCGGCGGGGAAGAAAAUGCUUAGGUUAAUACCUUGAGUAGAUGACGGUACCCGCAUAAGAAGCACCGGCUAACUACGUGCCAGCAGCCGCGGUAAUACGUAGGGUGCGAGCGUUAAUCGGAAUUACUGGGCGUAAAGCGUGCGCAGGCGGUUUUUUAAGACAGACGUGAAAUCCCCGGGCUUAACCUGGGAACUGCGUUUGUGACUGGAAGGCUAGAGUAUGGCAGAGGGGGGUAGAAUUCCACGUGUAGCAGUGAAAUGCGUAGAUAUGUGGAGGAAUACCGAUGGCGAAGGCAGCCCCCUGGGUCAAUACUGACGCUCAUGCACGAAAGCGUGGGGAGCAAACAGGAUUAGAUACCCUGGUAGUCCACGCCCUAAACGAUGUCAACUGGUUGUUGGGAAUUCACUUUCUCAGUAACGAAGCUAACGCGUGAAGUGACCGC
rnacentral:rRNA from 1 species